UUUUAAUGUAAAUAUUUUUCAUUCAGAGCUCAACUAAGAAAUAUCCGUUUUGACGAAUAUACAAUCUUAAGGUUACGCAUAGGCCCGCACAUGCGCAUUAAACAGAAAGCUAUAAGACAGGACCGUCUUCAAACAACCCAGGCCGCCCAGGAAGAGAGCCUCAACACGACCGAUCUUUUCCUGCACCGGAGAGACAGAGAGCAACCAUUACAUUGUGACUCCUCUCACUCUUAUCUAGGAUAUUGGUUUCCUCGGGUGGAAACAUCUAUAUCUUCAGCCACAACCCUCUCAUUGCUGCUGUUACGGUGAAUGAAGAAUUCCUCAGAGUAACCACAAUACCCCUUGAAGCAAGGUUCAUGCAGAAACUUGACGAGAAGUGCAGUGAACUAAUUCAAGUCGUCACAAAGAAGGGUGGAGCUAUCCGGGAGAAGACAAAGCUCCUGCCAAUUGUGGAAACGGAUACUGACACCACUACAAAGAGGGAGAUUGCUCUCAAAUGUCUCAUCCUCAACAUGGGAGAAUCGGUGGAGGACCUGAUCAA